UACAGAGGGUGCAAACGUUGUUCGGAAUUACUGGGCGUAAAGCGAGUGUAGGCGGUCUGAAAAGUCGGAUGUGAAAGCCCCGGGCUCAACCCGGGAAGUGCAUUCGAAACUGCCAGGCUAGAGUGUCGGAGAGGUUGGUGGAAUUCUCGGUGUAGAGGUGAAAUUCGUAGAUAUCGAGAGGAACACCGGUGGCGAAGGCGGCCAACUGGACGAACACUGACGCUGAGACUCGAAAGCGUGGGGAGCAAACAGG
rnacentral:rRNA from 1 species